GAUGAACGCUGGCGGUGUGCCUAAUGCAUGCAAGUCGAGCGAACAGACGAGGAGCUUACUCCUCUGACGUUAGCGGCGGACGGGUGAGUAACACGUGGAUAACCUACCUAUAAGACUGGGAUAACUUCGGGAAACCGGAGCUAAUACCGGAUAACAUGUUGAACCGCAUGGUUCAACAGUGAAAGACGGUCUUGCUGUCACUUAUAGAUGGAUCCGCGUCGCAUUAGCUAGUUGGUAAGGUAACGGCUUACCAAGGCAACGAUGCGUAGCCGACCUGAGAGGGUGAUCGGCCACACUGGAACUGAGACACGGUCCAGACUCCUACGGGAGGCAGCAGUAGGGAAUCUUCCGCAAUGGGCGAAAGCCUGACGGAGCAACGCCGCGUGAGUGAAGAAGGUCUUCGGAUCGUAAAACUCUGUUAUUAGGGAAGAACAAAUGUGUAAGUAACUAUGCACGUCUUGACGGUACCUAAUCAGAAAGCCACGGCUAACUACGUG
rnacentral:rRNA from 1 species